rnacentral:rRNA from 1 species
GAUGAACGCUGGCGGCGUGCCUAAUACAUGCAAGUCGAGCGAACGGACGAGAAGCUUGCUUCUCUGAUGUUAGCGGCGGACGGGUGAGUAACACGUGGAUAACCUACCUAUAAGACUGGGAUAACUUCGGGAAACCGGAGCUAAUACCGGAUGAUAUUUUGAACCGCAUGGUUCAAAAGUGAAAGACGGUCUUGCUGUCACUUAUAGAUGGAUCCGCGCUGCAUUAGCUAGUUGGUAAGGUAACGGCUUACCAAGGCAACGAUGCAUAGCCGACCUGAGAGUGUGAUCGGCCACACUGGAACUGAGACACGAUCCAGACUCCUACGGGAGGCAGCAGUAGGGAAUCUUCCGCAAUGGGCGAAAGCCUGACGGAGCAACGCCGCGUGAGUGAUGAAGGUCUUCGGAUCGUAAAACUCUGUUAUUAGGGAAGAACAUAUGUGUAAGUAACUGUGCACAUCUUGACGGUACCUAAUCAGAAAGCCACGGCUAACUACGUG